rnacentral:rRNA from 1 species
UACGUAGGUGGCGAGCGUUGUCCGGAUUUACUGGGCGUAAAGAGCGCGCAGGCGGUCGUGCAAGUCGCGUGUGAAAGCCCCCGGCUCAACUGGGGAGGGUCACGCGAUACUGCUCGACUCGAAGGCAGGAGAGGGAAGUGGAAUUCCCGGUGUAGUGGUGAAAUGCGUAGAUAUCGGGAGGAACACCUGUGGCGAAAGCGGCGCACUGGACCACAACUGACGCUGAGGCGCGAAAGCUAGGGGAGCAAACAGG